CUACGGGUCGCAGCAGUGGGGGAUAUUGCACAAUGGGCGAAAGCCUGAUGCAGCAACGCCGCGUGAAGGAUGACGGAUUUCGGUCUGUAAACUUCUAUCAGCAGGGAAGAAAAUGACGGUAUCUGACUAAGAAGCCCCGGCUAACUACGUGCCAGCAGCCGCGGUAAUACGUAGGGGGCAAGCGUUAUCCGGAAUUACUGGGUGUAAAGGGUACGUAGGCGGCUGAUCAAGUCAGAUGUGAAAGCCCGGAGCUCAACUCCGGGAUUGCAUUUGAAACUGGUCGGCUAGAGUGCAGGAGGGGAAAGUGGAAUUCCUAGUGUAGCGGUGAAAUGCGUAGAUAUUAGGAAGAACACCAGUGGCGAAGGCGGCUUUCUGGACUGUAACUGACGCUGAGGUACGAAAGCGUGGGGAGCGAACAGGAUUAGAUACCCGCGUAGUC
rnacentral:rRNA from 1 species